GAUCCUGAUGGAGUUUGAGUUCAGAGCACUGUGGUCAUCUUCCUUUAUCAUCCCACCCUCACUGGGAAUAGUGAAUCGGAAUUAUUUUUGGAAUGCAUAAGCCACCAGGUUUCAGAUGCUACCAUGACAGCAACUUGACAUCCCUGAGCUGACAACCUCACCAAUGUGACCAGGAACUCCCUGCCUCUCCAGAACCUUUCCCCAUUAGGGAAAGACAGAAAAAGGUUGGGAAUAUGGAGCAACCUGUCAAUACCCAUGUACAGUGGAGAAGCAAAUACAGAAGCCAGAUCUACCACCUUCUGUUCCACAUAAAGAAUUUUGGUCCAUACUCCCAGAGGAAUAAAGAAUAGGGAAACUUCCACUGGAGGAGAGGGGAUAUGAAACUCUGGUGGUGAAAAUUGUAUGGAAUUGUAUCCCUCUUAUACCACAAUCAUUAUUAAAUCAUUAAUAAAGAUAAAUAAAUAA